GAGAGAAGUGGGUGAGGGUCCCUGCCUCAGGACGAGGUGGGGAGAAGGAGCACGUUUGUUCGCACGCUUGCCCUGCUGUGCCGCGGGAGUGCGGGGUCUCCCAAAACUCGCUGGGUCAAGUCGCGGCCUGCGCUGCCAUGCUGGCACCCGAGCGCGAGGCACGCGCUCCUUCCCAAAAUGCUGACGCCCGCUGGGCCCUUUCCAGGGCAGGUUAGCAGAGUCACGGGGGACGCCCUGCACUGCCGUGGUGGCUGCUGUCUUCCAAGCAAGAACAACAGCCCGGGGUGGCCACCGACAGCGCGGCUUCUCAGUGUGCCCAGGCAAAGUUCCCCCCCCUCGUGGAUUGCUCUUGGAGGACAUGAACCCCUGAAACCAAGACCUUGUUCAUAUCCACCUCGCUGUUUAAGUAUUCUUAAAAGUGCUACCACACCAAAACAAUCCCGCAAGUGGUCAUCAAAAAUAACAAAAUUAAGCAAGGAAAACAACUUAUUUUUCUGCAUCUCCGAAGGAACAAAGGAACUGACCGAAUCUUCCUGAAAAACCCAAGUACUUUGUUCAAACAGUUAGCUCUUGCAAUUGUAUGUGAUGGUUUAAUAAAAUGUCACCUCUCCUUACAAGCUUCACUUCUCUGUAGUAGUAAACACUAAAAAUGCAUCAGCCUGCUUUAAAAAAAAAAAAAGGAAAAAAAACAGCAACAAAACAAGCUUUGUUACAGGACAACAAAGCUAAGGCUGAAUCCUGCUCUUGCCUUCGACUUGACGCUAGUAGCACGGUGGGGUUUCCUAAAAGAUCUCCGGGCCGUGCUUCUCCCUCCUCGCCCUCUGACUGGCGGCGGGGCUGACGAGCACUUUGUGGCAGCAGGUUUUCCAGCGUGCUGCUGCUGCUGCCGCCGACUCCAUUUUUCAGAUGCUAUCUUUUGUGCGUGUGCGGUUCAGGUCGUGCUAACUUCCAACAUCACCUCAUCCUGUGCAGUAAAACCUAGGAAAUUCUUCUUCGUAAUUGUGCUGCAGAAAGCUAGACAGCUCACUUCCAGCAGCAGAGGAAAUCCACCAAAGGAAAUAUUGCACUGCAGAAGGGGAUGUGGAACAAACACGUCUGCUGAGGCUGUUCCAGGCAGCAUUUGUAAUACUUCAGCCUUUAUGCCGAAAACAUUUCAGUGUGCCUUCAGAAAAGAGUAAACGGAUGGGUCGGAACAAAAUGAUAUGAAAAUAAAAACGCCGCGAUUUCCUUAAAUUAGACUAAAUGAUUUCCUACUGCGGCCCUAUAAUGGGUUUUUAGAAACUGCAGCAGACAUUUGAGGGCAAGGCAUGCAAAACCGCAUCAGCCUGAGGGAUCCCCCUGAGGGUCGUGUGAAUAUGGAUUGCAAAUUCUGGGUUGAAAUGGGAAAGGCUCCCACUAACUUUGAUAAAAUUUGGAUCGGGCCCUAAGGUACUUACGGAGGCAUGCCUUUUAUUUGGAGUUCGCUUAAAUUCACAUUACAUCUGUGUGUAUGUACGUGCCUGGAAACAAGGAAAUCCUUCUUAAAAUAAAUUUCAGCAUAAAAACAAUUGCCUUUUAUUCAGUUCUAAUUCGAGCCAUUAGCUAGAAGUUGUGUUUUAAUACCGCCUCAUUUUAAGCCAUAAAAGCCCUAUCAUAAAACUUAGCUUCACUUUUAGAAAUGCUGCGUAAGCAAUAAUUUUACAUCCACAAUCUCCAUAUUGAAAACAUUCCUUAAAACUGAGCCUAUCUAGGAUGCUGGUUUCCCAUUUGAGAAGUGGACCAGGAGCAAGCGAAUGAAGUACUGUGUCGCCCGCUGUACGUAGCUGCAUUCUGCUUUCAAACAGCUUGGGAGCAGUCUUUUAGCUUUCUUGGACAAAUGCUUUUUGUUAAAACAGUUUAUCUAAAAAAAAAAUAAUCUUUACCUAAUUCCAGUCCUUCGUUCAAAAACAUAAACACACAGCUGCUGUAUGGGCCAAAAUAAGGUUGGGGGGAGAUUUCAAAUCAGUAAUAAAGUUAUUUGCAGUGCUGGAUUAUACACAGAGAUAACACAAACAACUAGUGUAUUAAAUCAAUUUCUGUAUUAAAACUGUUUUUUUCUCUUCCUUAAAAAAAAUCACAUGCUUUAACAGUAAUGCAGUAAAACGCAUUCUGGCAUAAUUUGUGAGUAAAAGAAAGAAAGAAAAAAAAAGAUACCAGAUUUAAUAUAUAUGGUAAUACAAAUUCCCCAUCUAACUCAGGUUAAAAGAUUUUUAAGUGGCUCUCCUGAAGAAGUUUAUGUACUUUUCCAAAACACUACUUUGUAGUAAGAUUUACCUGAAAAUAGCGUUACGGACAAAAUAACUCCUAUGCACUUUUUAAAAGGUUCUCUUAUGGAAGUUACUAAGUGCAGAGAUAAAAUGCCGUAUAAUACCACAGUAUUAACACCAUAUGACAUCUAAAUUCAAGGUUGAAUUGUAUUCUUGUUAGGCAAAGUUUCAACACUGAAUGGAAAUGAAGACUGGAACAAAGCUAUUCCUGAUUAAAGGAUUGUAUUGCAGUCAUGUUUCCUGUAUUUUUCUACAAGUAGCUCAUAAUAUGAAAACAAUAAGGUAAUUACAAUAAAAUAUUAAAAAAAGCUCCUCUUGGAACAGAAUGACUGCUUGUUUAUAUUAUUCAAGUCUUUCACUGAAACCAGAGAUGCAUCUGUCAGGC